rnacentral:tRNA from 1 species
GGGGAUGUAGCUCAGUUGGUAGAGUGCUUGCCUGGCAGGGAUGAAGCCCUGGAUUCCAUCUCCAGCAUUUAUA